AGAGUUUGAUCAUGGCUCAGAAUCAACGCUGGCGGCGUGCCUAACACAUGCAAGUCGAACGAGAAAGUGGUAGCAAUACCAUGAGUAAAGUGGCGCACGGGUGAGUAACACGUGACUAACCUACCCUGGAGUUCGGAAUAACCUCGGGAAACCGGGGCUAAUACCGAAUGACACCGAGAGGUCAAAGGAGCAAUUCGCUCUGGGAGGGGGUCGCGGCUGAUUAGCUAGUUGGCAGGGUAAUGGCCUACCAAGGCGACGAUCAGUAUCCGGCCUGAGAGGGCGCACGGACACACUGGAACUGAAACACGGUCCAGACUCCUACGGGAGGCAGCAGUGGGGAAUUUUGCACAAUGGGGGAAACCCUGAUGCAGCAACGCCGCGUGGAGGAUGAAGGUCUUUGGAUUGUAAACUCCUUUCGAUCGGGACGAUUAUGACGGUACCGGAAGAAGAAGCACCGGCUAACUCUGUGCCAGCAGCCGCGGUAAUAC
rnacentral:rRNA from 1 species